UCGACAAACCAAACGCGGGGAGGCAAAAAUUUUCUACUUUCUCCCGUGCAAAGGCUCCUUUUGUUCGACAAGACAAAAGGUUCUCAUGUCAAAUAGAAGGACCUUGUAGAGGUCCUUGCCGAACACAAGGUUCUCUUGUCAAACACAUGGUUCUCAUUCCAGAUAACCUUGCAGAGAAUUUUUGAAGAAGACAGAAGGUUCACGAGCAAGAUAAAUUAGAGAAGAAUAAGUUUUCUUCACGAGCAAGGUAGCAGGCUUCUUCGAUUGAGAUAAAUUGCAGAGCAGAAUCAGUUUUCUUCACGAGCAAUGUAGCAGACUUCUUCGACUGAGAAAGGGGAAUAAUCCUUUUGUGCUUGAGAAGGAGAACUUUUUGGGUAUCAAGCACCACUUCUUUUAUUAGUUUUCUUCCUCCUCUGUCAUUCUCUCCAUUUUCCAUUUUUAAAGUAGAAAAAUAUUCACAAUAGCUAGCUAUAGCUCUACCUCUCAUCGCUGCCAUCUAGUCUAGCACGGUGUUGGGGAAAUGCCAAGUCUCUCCACCUGCAACUUCAAUCAAACAUCAUUCCCAACCUCAAAAACUCACUCUCCCUCACCCUCCAACACUUCUACAUUCUUGCCGGAAACCUAUUUGUAAAGGAAACAGUUGAUGUUGGAAAACCCUAAACCUAUACCAGAGAAAGAGAAACUUUCUUCUGUAUUAUCCAGUCCAAACUGCAGAGGUGAAUUUCAUAAGACUUGAGACAGGACUCAUGUGGCUGAUCCCAAUAGUUAGCAAUUGGGAUAAGGCUAUGUUUAGUUGACUUGAGCUUUGACUAUGCAAGCCUAUUUCUUUUAAGAUAUUUGUAGCAUUUAAUCUGUGAAAAAUUUUUCAGGGUGUUGGUUCUGGUGCUCAAAGUGAUGUUUCUUUCUUAUCAUGGAAUGACAAGGUUCAACAUAUACUUGCAUCCAUUUCACAUAAUGGGACGACAGUUUGUCAGAUUCAAAUAGAAGGCGAAGCUCUGUUUUACAAUGGAAUCUUGAUAUUGCAACUCAGCUUGUUUUUGCAUCUGAUGAUGACAGUUCACCUUCUCUAAGGUUGUGGGAUAUGAGGAACCCAAUAUCACCAUCAAAAGAAUUUUUUGGGCACACUUGUGGUAUGCUAUCUAACAUGAUAAUACUUCAUUUCUCCUUUUGUUAAAUGCUAGUACGGUGGGCAUGAUUUACAAGUUAGACUGUUUUUAAUAAUAUGGMUGUUGCUAUGUUUUGAUAACUUUAUUUUGUGAUUGGGAAUCCUUGGUGUGUCUCCCUGGGUUUUAGAAAAUUAGGGUACUAAUUGUAAUUAUUUGAUGGUUGAAUUUUGCUUUAAUUUCUUUAGUUCAUUAUACAUUGUUUUUUCUUAAUUUGUUGAUGUUAUAUUUGUUUUCUUGCCUUUUCUUUUUCUUUUUUGGAUUUUAUUUCCACCACUUGAUUUUGCGGGUGAAAGAUGUUUAGUAGGAAUUGGAGAUAUGAAGCAAUUAGAGAUUGGUAGAGAUUUAGAAGUUGGAGUUUUGUUUUGGGUGGGUUGGGUUUCUUCACAAUAGAAGACUUUUAUUUCCAUCACUUGAUUUUUCUUUAAGAAGACUUUUCUUCACAAUAGAAAAUAUAUUUUUUUUUUAUGUUUAUAAGUUCUGAAAUCUCCUUUGGCAAAAUUCAUGGAUUUAGAUUUAUACAGAACUGAAAAAAUGGUGAAAUGUGAACCUCUUUUUUAGGUUCUGUUGCAUGAUGCUUUCAUGAAUCUAUGUUUCACAUAAAUACACAUAAUUCCGAGGUUAGGAAGGCUUGUUUGUUUCUACAAAACCAUUAUGUGGUAAAAAUUCACUAAUUACUUACUAUGAGAUAUACUAAACUGUUAUACAUGUGAAGUAUUCUAGAAUCACUUAUUGCAAAACCUGAAUGCAUUGUGGUUGGCAUCUGGUGCCUCAUGCAAUUAUGCUUAUUUCCUGAUUUCUUUUUUUAUUGCUAAAUAUAAAAAGUUUAAAAUCUUGAUACACUUUUGUUACUGUUUUUGUUUUCUGGAUUUUCCUCUUAUGGACUAUAUGCCCUGUGUUCCUUUCUUUCUUUCUUUCUUUCUUUCUUUCUUUCUGUACGCAUAUGCAUUCCUAGUUUCCACUUUUUUUUCCUGUGGCAUGACUGUUGAUUUGCAUCAUGGCCGAGUUUGGUAAGUGGUGAUUGUUUAGAUGGCACUCUGCAAUUCAGCCCAAAUUCUAAAGCCCGUUUUGUUGAUACACAUCUAUUUUCCUGAUUCCCUCAGUCUCAUAAUAGUCAUUUUGGUUUGGUCAUCAAUGAGUAUAGUACAUGAAGCAAAGUUCAGAUUGCAUUCCACAAAUUUCUUGGCAAAGCUUCAGCUGCAGCCUCAACAUCAAUCCUUCAGCAGGAGGAAGAACAAUUUCAUCUGGAUUCCCAAAUGACAUAGGAUUUAUUGCUCAUGCUCUUUGAAUGCCACUGCAAAUUUUCAGUAUUGCCUUUUCUUCUCUCUACUCAACCCUUUAAACAGUGGGUUUGACCUAAAAAUUGACACAAAUUUUGACUAAAAAUGAUUGAUCUGAGGCUUUUCAGCACUGUUCUAUACCUUUAUGUAGAGAAAGAAGGGAAGAAACUACUUACAUGUAGAGUACAUAUAAUGGAUUUUCACUAUCAUAAUUUUCUUUGAAGCACAUAAGCAAGGAACCCUAAUCUUGAUCAUUAAUUUGCUGGACCAUUCACUUACUUACUGCAAUUCAUAGCUUAAAUCUUAUAAAAGGAGUAAAAACACCAAACACAAUCUUCUUUUAAGCACAAUAGCAAGGGACUCUUGUCUUAAUUAUUAGUUUUCUAAAUCUAGUAUCUGUUUUACUGAAAUUGUAGCCUGAAUCUCAUAGUGGGGGUAAAGAGAUUGGAGUUCAAGAAAUGUCAGAUACCAGCCACUGGUUAUUGGACCGAUCAGCUCUACCUAACAAUGAAUCCAUUAGAGGUUUACAAUUCAAUGGCAUGGAUGAUCUUCUCUGCCUCUGUAAAGGAUCUGCUUUGAUGUUGAAGCCUAGUGGGAAUUCUGCUUCCUUACCUUCUAGUUGGGUUAAUUGAGGCCAACCAAACCCAUUUUAGCAGGUUUAAUAUAGUUGGAUUAAGGCUUUAUUAAGUUGGACUGAGUUGUUUGAUCAUGCACUUUUGUUUGAGAAGAGAAGAGGAUAAAUAAAUAAAUAAUGUAUCUAACUUUUGCUUUUCUAUAUGGAUAUUACAAGCUUUUUUGUAGUUUGGUUUUAAACCCAAUCUGGUAUGGAAUUAGAGUGUUGAGUAGAAGAAACAUGUCAAAAAAAAAAAGAGUGUGGUAGAUAUGUGACAUGUCUGGAGUUAAAUAGAUAAAAUGGGUAAAAUAAUAUACAUCCUUUGUACCCUUCUUGUUCUGAUAUUGCUGAUCAGCUCGAUAGGAUUUGCUGUGAAGACAAAGUUUGGGAUGCCAGACUGGUGGUACUUGCAACCAGAAGAUACUACAAAUUUGUAUAAUCCAUCAAAGCCUAUGUUGUCAGUAGUGAAGGUCUUGCAAGCAAUGUUCUUUAACCAAGACAUAAACAUGUAUGAUGAGGAGACGAGCAAUCCUACUGAAGCUCGUACAUCAAAUCUGAAUGAGGAGCUCGGCCAGGUUCACACUAUUCUUUUUGAUAAGACGGUCACUUUAACAUGCAAUCAGAUGGACUUCCUUAAGUGCUCCAUUGCUGGUGUUGCCUUUGGUAUGGGUUCUAGUGAAGUUGAAAUAGCUGCAUGGAUGGAAAUUGGUUGAAAGAACCCAAUUCAGACACCAUAUUGUUCUUUCGGAUACUGGCACUUUGCCACACAACAAUUCCUAAGCUAAAUGAGGAAACUGGCAGUUUCAACUAUGAGGCUGAAUCACUAGAUGAGGGAGCUUUUCUUGUUGCAGAUAGAGAGUUUGGUUUUGAAUUCUGUAAACGGACUCAAACAAGUGUCUUCAUUCGAGAAAGAUAUCCUUCUUCUGAGCACCUGAUUGAAAGGUUAGAAUACAAAUAUAUUUUAGGGUCUUCAAUUUUUCAUUGUUUUGAUUCAUGGCAUCUAAUCCACCUAUUUGUUGGAACAUUUUCAUGGAGUUCAAAAUUCUAAAUCUGUUGGAGUUUAGUAGCAAAUGGAAGCGGAUGUCUGUUAUUGUUCAGGAUGAAAAUGGAGAGAUUCUUCUUCUGUGCAAAGGUGCAGACAGCAUAAUUUUUUACCGGUUAGCCAAAAAUGGAAGAACAUAUUUGGAGGAGAAAAGUAGGCAUCUGAGUGAAUAUUGAGAAGCAGGUUUGCGGACUUUGGCACUUGCAUAUAGAAAGCUAGAAGUGGCAGAGUAUUCUAAUUGGAACAAUGAAUUUCUUAAGGCAAAGACUAAUGUAGGUGGUGAUAGAGAGGUGAUGCUUGAACAGGUACCAGAUAAGAUGGAAAAAGAUUUAAUUCUUGUAGGUGCAACUGCUGUGGAGGACAACUUGGGCAGGUUUGGGUUUGGUGGAGCUAACAAUAGCAAGUCCAUGUGUACUGAACAUUCAGUCUUAACCUAAUCUGACCUGAAGAUUACCAUGAACUGUUCAACUUAAAUCUUACUUGACUUGGGUUGGGUUGGGUUUAUUAUAUCAUAUAAUGCACGCCGAAUUUUAGAUAAAGGUUAACUUCUCCUGAAAAGAAUAAUAAGAAUAAAGAGAGGUUAGCAGUAGCAGGGACUGAAUACCAGGGGCGGAGCUAAAUUUUACCUUGUCAAAUUGGAACAAGGAAUUGAAAGCCAUGUAGGAAAGGAAGAAACAGCAAGCCAACUUGAUGGUUGUCCCUGUUGUUGACGGCAAUGAGCACCGAAAUCCAGUCUCACUAUCUAGUGACUUCAUAAAAUAGAUGACCAAGAGAUUUGCUCAAGUUGUUAGGUUCGAAGAAAGUGGUAAAGAAGACCUAAUAACAGAGAAGGGUGGCUCUACUAUUGUUGCAGUUGUGGGUGCUAGAGUUAAAUAUGAAGAUGUGUCACAUUAUUCAAGAAGAUUUUUUUUUCUAAAUGCCUUGUACCGUUUUAUAUGUCAAUUGGAUAUUGUAUUGAAUCAAUUUG